rnacentral:lncRNA from 1 species
CCUUAUCUAUACUCUGCAACGUCACAACUACCCACUUUGGCACCGUAGGCGACUUGAUCUCUAUAUAUCAUGCCAAAUCAGAAGCAAGAACUCGCUCAAGUACUUAUUUUUUAAUAUAGUGCACUCGAAGCUAGCAAAGAUCUUUUCUGACUUGAAGAAUAUGAAAACUCUUGCUGGCGCAGGUAUUUAGGCCUACUUCAGUUUCUUUUUUGAGAAGGGCCAACUUCAGUUGAAUAUCAUUUAUAAUUCUUUUUUUAAUAUAUGCAUUUAUGAAUAUAUUUUUCAAUAUAAAAUUUUUAGGUAUGAGCGAUCCGUCAGAAGGUUUGGUACUCCCUUCUAGUAUUGCUGAUGAUGAUGUUGGAAAUGACAAUCUUGAUCUUAUUGUUAUUCCUCAAUAUGGGAGAAAUCCUGAUUAUUAUGGGUAAGUGUCUGCAAUCUGGAUGAUGAUAUAUGUAAUUAAAUAAAAGGAUGGGUACAGUUAUUACCUAUCAAUCAUAAGAGUGUCAAUUUAGUUCAGUUCACUAAUAAAAAUCUCUUAUACAAGAGAUUAUCUUUGUUUGCGUUCAUGUACUUUGUCUUCUUUAAUUAAUAAAUAAAAUUAUUGUGUAUCAAUGUGUUGAUUAAAUUAGUCCAUUAAUAGAUAUAAAAUCAUUUGAAUUUGUCCACAUAUUAGUUUAGUUAAUUGUGCUCUCUUUCUUCUUGAAUAUUUGUCAAACAAAGUCUACCUAUUAGUUAGCUAAUAAUCGCAGCUCGCAGGGAACCAAGAUCUUUAUAAUUAAUUACGAACGUUUAUGCUUCUUAAAUGGCUUGUGUCAUCGUGAUAAUGCCAUUACAACCUGUUAUAUAUAUAUAUAUAUAUAUAUAUAUUCAAAAGCAUUCCAACUCUAUGAACCUUCUAUUACACAAUUUUCAAAUGGUAUAAACAUCUAUUUUAAUUAGAGUAAAAUGUUGCUUGUUAGAAUGGCCCGUGAGUCAAUCUAAUUUGCGCUGGGACAAAUUAAUAGAACUUUAAAACUUUUCGACGGGUUUUGAUAAGACUUUAACUUGUCAAACCGUGGGUUGCUGUACGACGGGACUUGAAAAAAAACAUGUUGAGUUCUUUAUAAUUAAUGUUUAAAAUAUUUCAUUAAUUUUAGAGAAUAUUAAAAUAAAAAAUAAGUAAAUUCACGUUGAUCGAGAAAAAUACUGAAAUAUCGAUGCGUGUUUAGGACGAUAUAGAGGAUCUAUUUGAUCACAUUUAAUUCGCAUGCAACAGUAAUUCUGUCACAUUCUAUCACAGAUUCACGAAAGCUUCUCAUCAAAGUAUAGAAACAGAAAACUGUAAAAUUUAACGGGGGAAAACCUAUUAAACAAGAAAACAAAGCAGCCCCUCCGUACUGUGAAAUUACUUGCAAGCCAGUUGCGGUUGAGUUUGGGAAUGAGGGGCUGAGUUUGAGAUAAAUGGAGGGGAGAUAAGUUUGACUAAAAGGGGAUUCACAGGAAGACUUUAAGGGAGAAGAGACGAGUUUGAGAAAAAUUAGGAUAGAGAUUUAGAGGAGAUGAUUUGGGGUCUCAAAUUAACUAAUCCAUUCUUACAAUCACACAAACCGAUGGAAACCCAUUCAGAUUUUGAAAUAAUGAUGGUGACAUUAGUAGCUUAAGCCAAAACAUAAUUUAAAAAUAACAUAUAUAUAUAUAUAUAUAUAUAUAUAUAUAUAUAUAUAUAGUCAUUCUCUAGUGUAGGUAUCUUCAUUUAUUUUUCAUGCGAACACAUUUUAAAACCGCGGAGUUUAAGAGAGUUAGUUUUUAACUCUUUAAAACCGCAUAGUUUAAAAGUUUAUCCGUAUUAAAAAAAAUACGGGCGUCCGCACCUGAGAAUGAUUUUAUAUACACACACGUAUAAAGUAAUUUUUUAAUUGUGAAUUAUCAACCAUAUUAAAGUCAAGAGAAAGUUUAUAAAAAAAACCACCGACGCUAAUACAACGUAUUUUGUUGUGUAAUGUUUUGAAAUAUUCCUGCAAAUAAAUGGAUACUGAAAAUGAUCAUAUUAUUUUUAGUGAUUAAUGAUUCUUAUCGAGUAGAUUCCUGAUCUAUGAAAUGACUUACAUGAGCAUAUUCACCCUUUGGGAGUGGGAAACAAGUAAAAUUAUGUGUGCUAGAGGAGCCAAUAUCGAAGAGUUUAAGUCUAUGCUUCUCGUAAUCAAUUUCCAUAUCAAAACAAAAUGGAGUUGAUGAUAAUCUUGAUUUUACUAAAAAAAAAAAGGAAUAAUAGAUGUCUCAUUAGAAAAUAUUAAUGUGCCAUAUAUAUAAUAGUUCAAUCAUGUAAAAAUACUUGAAAAAUUAAUCUUGAGAAUGCAAAAUAAGAACUAUAGCAAGCACCUCUACAGGCAUAAAUUAAAAGAAUUGCAACGUGUACAUGAAGACUGCUAGACAUAGAAAAAAGUGAUAAAAAAAAAAACUGAUAUAUGAUAAAGAGCAUAAUAGAGAUAGUUGUUAUUAGGGAUGGUAAAAUUCUCCAUGGGUUGGGGUUCUCUAGGGCUCCAUGAUACAAACUCUUAAAAUAAUUAAAAUUAUUUAUUUUAUUUUAUGGUAUUAGUUAAUUUUGAACUAGUCAAAAGUAGUUGCACUUAUUUUGUGGAAUUACAUGUAAGUAAUGGAGCAUUAUGUGAAAACAAGCCCAAUGUUACUAAUUUUUAGGUUGUAAUCUUAAAUAAGCUUUAUUAUAUAAAGCUUGAUGUUAGUCAAUGAAAAGUAUCAUGAGUUAAUUAUUUGGCAACAUAAAAGUUGUAAUUGGGAGUUUAUUGGUUUCUCGAAUAACUAGUAUUUAUUUGGAGAUUUGGGUUUCUUCAAAUUAAUCCCAUUUGUCAUCUAAUUUUUUCUGUUUCAUUUGAUUUCUCCUUAUAAACAGUAGCAUUCGUAUCAUUCCACCCCAAAUGGGGUGAAUUUUGAAUAAUUUUUGGAGAAUGAGGUGGGGAAUUAGAGAAAAAUAAUCUCCAAAUUCUUAAUAAUAUGGGGUUUGAUUUUGUACUUCCCACUCCACAGUCCACACCCACUCCAGUCCCCAUUACAUAUAAAUAUUUUUUAAUUUUUAUUUAAUAAAUUUUUUAUCAAUUACAAUGUCAAUUAAUAAUUUUUUUUAUUUUCACUUGAUAUAAAUGAGUUAUGACUAAAAGAAAACCCUAUAAUAUAAUUUUUAUUCAACCCUAAAACAUUGUUAUAUUUUCUUUUCUAUCUUAAAAUACCACUCUCUUCAAACAUUUUUCAAUUUUGAUAUUAUUUUAAGAUAUUGUUUCAGACAUUUGGAGAUUUUUUUAAAUAAUUUGAAUACUUCAUAAUAUAGUAAUGAUUUUAUUGAACUCUUUAAUUUUUAAUUUAUUGAAAUCAUAUAUCUAUAUCUACUAUAAAAUAAAAAUAAAUGGGGAAUGAGGAGGGAUGGGGAUGGGGAUGAGGAAAUCAUUUCUCAUGUGGGGAUUCCUUAUACCCACCCCACUAAAUUCAUUGAGAAAUGAAGUGGGAAUUAGAGGCAAAAUUUUUAACACGGUGGGGAAUGGGAUAGCCUUCCUACCCCCACCCCACCCCAUUGCCAUCUCUAGUUGUUAGAUGGUGGAUAAUUUUACAUAAAUUAAUUGUAUUAAACUUAUUAUCCGAAUAAAAUUGUUUUAAAUAAAAUUUUAAUAAAUGAAAUUUUGGAAAUAUGUAAUAUUAUUUUUAAUAAUAGUGAUACACAAACUCGUCAAAAUUAAUUUGUCAAUCAUCUGUAAAUUUUACCAACUCUAUAGUUCAAUUAACAUUUUUCUAAACCUCAUUUUAUAUUUAUCGCUUUUGAAGAUUAAAAUAUCAUGAUUUAUUAUGUCCAUAUAAGUAAUUUGAUAACCUCAUUUCAGUAUAUCAGAAUAUCAAGAUUUAUUAGGUCUUUACUUGCGCUUUUGGCUGCAAGAGCCUUCGCCAAUUGAUCAUUUUAUGGGGUUUGACAUAGCCACAAAAUUAAGAUAAAGGUUCAAAGACAGUAUUACAGGUUCAUCCACCAUAAAACAAAUGAUAUUUUGAAAAGAAAAUUAAGACCCUAUUAGUUAAUUUGUCUCGUAAUUAAUUAUUGUCGACAAGCCAUCACAAACUUUCUUCAAUUAUUCCUACUUUUCUAAAAAAAUCUUUAAUGAUAAAAUUAUUUGCACUCUAAAAAUUAUUCUUUAACAUUAUUUUAAUAAAUUAUUUUAUGAGUGAUGAUACAGCCACAAACUCUUGUACAAACUUAUUUCGUACAAACUGAUGUGGCAUCAAUUCAUUGGUUGAAUGAAAAUACAAAAUAAUGAAAAUAAAUCAUGUGGGCCAAGAGAUAUUUAAUUUAACCAAUUUUAUCAUGCCACAUCAGUUUGUACAAAAUAAGUUUGUACAAGAAUUUGUGGCUAUAUCAUUACUCUUAUUUUAUUACAAAAAUACUCAUCAUAUGAAUUAUUGACAAGGAUUCUCUCUUAUAGGCUAAUAUAAUAUAAUUAUUCUGAAUACUCAUAUGGCAUACUCACUAUUCAAUAUAUAAUUUCUCUUGUCAUAAAUCCUAAAAAUCUUAUUUUCAAUCUCUUGAAUAAUGUUUAAUUAAACAAGGAGCAAAUCAAUACUAAAAAUACAUUUUGAACAUAUUUUUGCUUGUUAAUUUUUUUUAAAAAGUAGUUUUUUUAAAUAAGCAUUUAAUUCAGAAGAUGCAUGCUUGGAGUUAUGAUUUUGGAUGUAGAGAAGAUUUGAUCGGAAACGAGAAAUGGCGGCAGCAAGCUUAUUGAAUCGUCGUUCUGCGAAGAAGAGUUUGCUUUUUGCUGUUUCUAGUGGAAUGUCACUUAAUAAUCAAAACAGGCUUCUUCUUCUUUCUUUUUUAAAACCUAUAGCUUUAUGGUUUAUGCUUAGUAACAAAAAAAGAGUCAAAUAUCAGUGGUCUCUAUAACUAACAGUGAGCAAGAUUCGAUUUUGAAAAAUCUUGUACCAAUUUGCUUUUGUGCUAUUUUAUAUUCAAUUGACGAAAGAAUUAAUGCUGUAACUGCUACCCUUGUGUCGAUGACUACAUUAAUAAUGCCCCCAAAUUAAAGCCCACAUAAAAUUAAAUAGUAUACUCUAGCAAAUUAAAUUAAGUCAUAUUGUAAGGUAUCAAGAAUUAAAUAUUCUAUUAGCAAAGUCAAAACGUGAAAUCUAUCCAAACCAAGCCCACCGGUUUGUCCAUGAAAAUUAAUUAUUUCUUCAUUAUUAUCGAAUUAAUAUCUUCACUUGAUAACAUGGUUUACGAGGUAGGUCGCACAUUAAUUAUAUGAUUACUUCAUAGUUAUCCAAUAUCUUCGUACACCUUUUAUGACUAACCUAUUGGUCUAUCCAAAUUAAUAGUCACUUAAUUUAUUGUGGUCCAAUAUCAUCACUUGAUAAGAUUAAAGCAUAUAUACCCACAGCCCCCUAUAUGCCUCUUAAUUAUAUAUCAUGACUUUGUCCAGCAAGAGAGAAAGAGAGAAAGGGUAGGACUCUUUUCGAGCUUUUACAAAUCUACGGUAGAAUAAGAUGAUUUAAGUAAAAAUAAUUUAAAAAAAAAAAACCAAAUACCAAAAUUAACUUUCAAAAUUUUAAAAUUAUUUUCUGCCAUCUCAAAAACAGUGUCAAAUGAAACCUUUUAUCCAACUAAAAAAAAAUAGUGAAAAGUAGUGGGAAUUUUAUUAACCGCACAAAUCAUAAGUCAAAAAAUAUGAACAAAAUAGUUUGUUCUUCGGAACUCUAAUAAAUUGGAGGCAUGUGCUGCCCGAAACCAAAUGAUGCAUCAAGAUUUGUUCUUUGAAAAAUAAAUUAAUUUGUUAGUAGAUAGUUGCGUGUUUUACUUUCAAAAAAGGCUAAAAUAAUUUCAGGCCUUGGAUGCAUCUAACGGCUGAAAUCAUAAUAUCAAGAUUUAUUCUUAAGUCUUUGUUUGAUAUCAAGAUUUUUGAUUCAACCGCACAAUUAAGUUAAAGUUUCGUAUGCAGACUAUUAGGGAUUCAUCCAGGUAUGCAACAAACAGAUGAAAUGAUAUUUUGAAAAGAAAAUUAAUUUGUCUUGUAAUUAAUUAUUGCCGGCAAACUUUAUCUCAAAUCGCACACUUCUUUUCAAAUAUUAUCUACUUUUCUAGACUCUACGAUUACUGUCUACAUUUUUCAAUGAAUUAUUGCUCGGUAACUAGUUUUUUUACAAUCAUUUUUUUCGCGGACCAGAUCGUGUUUCGCACUAAUUGCAAUCAUUUAACCAUAUAUGGCCGUUAAUCGUACCCAGCCAUUGCGCGAAAAAACAUCAGCCGUUGAUCGUUUAUCUGUACAAUUUUUUAAUAUUUAUAAUAUUUUACUUAUAAAUCAUGAUUUUCCUUAAAGUUGUGGAUUCCUCCACUGAAUAGAAAUGGUUGUGAUUUAUUUGUCAAUUCAAAAGUUCCAACAGUAUUUCAAUGUUGUGCAUUUUCAGCUAAUUAGUCAAAGAUAAUCUAGUGCAUCUUCAGAAUUUUUAUCCCUAAAUUUACCAUUACACAUUAUUUCAACAACCUAUCUACUUUAGGGUAUCAAGCUCUUGUAGAAAUAAAUGACCAAUCACCAAGUUUCAAAACCAUGGUGUGGACAUAUGUUAAGCAAUUCUUUAAACCCAUCCCAACAUUGGUAUAAUGUUUCUCCAUUUUUUUUAGUGAAAUAAGUGAUUUGCCUUUUAAAAGAAUUGGUUCUAUGAGGUGGAAAGAAUUUUUUCAAAAAUUAUUCUUACAUGUUAUUCGAAGUUCUUAUUGAUUCAGAUCUAAAGUUUUAUAGCCAAGUUUUAGCUUUAUUUUUUAAUGAAAAAAGAAAAAGUUUCAACCUAACUAUGUUCAUGCUACAAUUUUGGUUUAUAUAUGUAUUACAAACUUCCUCAAAGAUGCAAGUAUGGAUUCUCAGAUUCUAAACCAUGAAAUGUUGGUAAAAGUUGGAUAAUACAUGGUUUAAAGUUGAAUCGAGAAGCCUCUGGAGGUAGGGGUGGCAAAUAUACCCGCCCAGUCUGGAUCCGGACCGUACUCGGGCGUUUUGGGCAUCACUUGAUAAACCCAGAACCCGGAUUUUAUUUCAAAAAAUUAUUAGAAAAUAUAUAUUAUUUUAAAUAUUUAUAUUUAUUUGACUCAUUUAUUACACAUAUAUAAAGUUUUAAACACUUAAAGUUCAUAAUUUCAUGUCAAAUUUUAUUAAAAAUAAAUUUAAAACUUAUAAAAUUACCAAAAAAAUACACAUAUAAUAUUAAAAAAAUAUAAAAUUCGGGUACCCGGAUUAAAGCCCAGCACAACCCGGCCCGGGCAUCUAUGCAUCCGGGUCGGGUCCGGUCAUUGCGAUACCCGGACCCGGGCCAGGGUUUUGCCAACCCUAUCUGGAGGAAAUACUAUACAGCUCCGAUUCUAGUUGGAUUCAUGUAGUCUCUCAAGAUUCUUCGUCGAUUCUGAUCACGUCCAGGUUGAGACUGAUUGUCUCCCUGAUAAAUUUGAGGAUUAGGUUCGCCCAAAAGUUUUUCAUCUUGGAUUUCGUCCAUAAUUAGUGAUGGAGAUUGAGAUCUACGAAUUAACCUGCCACCUGAAGUUCGAGACCAAUGUGUCAUGAAAUGGUUAUAUCACAAAGGUAAUAUUCAAAUAAAUUAGUAACAAAAGAACUAAAUGAAAAUUGCACAAAACAAAAAUAAAAAUUAAAUAUGCAAAUAAUAAGAGGAUGAAUACCCCGAAAUCUGGGUUGUGACUUUUGAUCAUUGUCGCAGCAUGAAGUUUGUUGUGACCUCUAGUUCACAUGCACUCUGUUUUUGUAGUUGCCGCAUGUCAAUGUUAUUGUAGUUCCCUUUUUAGGCUAUAUCUUGUCUAGUUGUCUUUGUGCUCGAAAGUGUGAACUUAGUCAGCGUCGAUAAAUGGAGUGCUUUUGCAUGUUACUUUUUAAUGAAUGGUGGAAACAAUAAUUCAUAAGCAUCUUAGCAUAACAUUUUCGCUCAAUUAAUGCAUAUCAAUAGCGGUUUACUCAUGCUCUGUAUGUGACGCAUUUCUAGGAAGCUUAUAUAUGGAGUUCAUUCGUUUCUGAGGUAUGCUAGAUUUGCAUGGGAAAAAUGAUAAUUUUGACCUGUUUAUUGUCCCUCAAUAUGGGAGAAAUCCUGACCAUACUGGUUAGGUACAUGUAAUAUUUGUUUAUUGCCCUUUAAUAUGGGAGAAAUCCUGACCAUACUGGUUAGGUACAUGCAAUAUUAAUCUUUCGUUUUAUGUUUAAUUAAAUAAAAGGAUAGGUAAUGUUAUUACUUAUGAAUCAUGUCAGUGCCAUUUUGGUUCAGUUCAACUAUUAAUAUCUCUUAGAAUGUUAAAGAAAUUAUCACUGUUAGUGUCCAUGUACUUCGUCUUUUUUAAUAAAUAAAAUUAUCACGUGUCAAUGUGUUAUUUGUUUUGAUCUUUCAACAAAAUUCAGUUUAAUUAAUUAUGCCCUCUUUCAUCACGAAUGUGUGUGUGUAUAUAUUUGAAAAAACUAAAACAAUGAGGGGCACUAUAACUUUUUAUUUGCCAAACAUGGGAUUGUGUAAAAUUAAUACAAUGAGAGGCUUUAAUACAACAACCAAACAAGCUCUUAAGGGAAAAGGACACACACCCCCAUGCCUAAUAUUUAAUAAAGCGACAGAUAUAUUUGUUAAUUUAUAAAGUUUAUUAACUAAUAAAUGCCAAAUAUACUAAUUUUUAUUGUAGUAUAAGCCCAAGUUCAUGGUAGAGAAAACAGGCCUAGGCCCUUUGUAGGAUUGUCCAAGUUGGAACAGGUCGAACUUAAGACUUUUUUAACAAUUCAAUAAAAUAAAACAAUAGCUAAAAGGUAAAAACAACUUAAGUUAAAGAGGAUUUUAUUAAUUUUUUCUCUGUUCAACUAAUUAUACAACAAUAUUUAUUUAAAAAAAAUUGAAAUAGCCUCCAACAAAAAAAAUGAAUUUUACAAAAAUUUACAGCCUACAAAAUGUAGGUUCAAUUGUUCAACAUAGCAUUACUAUAACAAUAAUAAUAAUAAAAGACAUAAUUAGCAUCAGAUUCCAAAUCCAAUAAUCCAAUUUCCAUAAACACUAUCACACUAACAUUUUUUUUCUUUCUUAUUUUUCCAUUCCAUUUUUUUCAAACUUAAUUCGUAAAUUAAAUUUAAUUAUUUAAAGAAAGAAUACGUUUGAGAUUUGAUGCACAAAACAUAUAUAAAUUAUUCAUAAUUUCAAUAUUAGGAAAUAAAUGUUUAGGGGGAUUGAAUUGAUGUCCAAAAUUCAAAUGGCCUAAAUAUGACCCCUUUAUAUAUAUAUAUAUAUAUAUACAGUUAUAGAAUAAUUUUUCAAUGCUGAAUCAUUGACUAUAAAGUCAAGACAAGGUAAAAAAAAAAAAUCAACGUUAAUACAACGUAUAUUGUCGUAUAAUGUUUUGAAAAAUUCCUACAAAUAUAUGGAAACUGAAAAUGACCAUAUUAUUUCUGGCGAUUAAUGAUUCUUGUGGAGUAGAUCCCUGAUCUAUGAAAUGACUUACAUGAGCAUAUUCACCCUUUGGGAGUGGGAAACAAGUAAAAGUAUGUGUGCUAGAGGAGACAACAUUGGGGAGUUAAGUCUGUGCUUCUCGUAAUCAAUUUCCAUAUCUAAAGAAAAUGGAGUUUAUAAUCUUGCUUUUACUAACCUCGUUAACUACUUUGUGAACAAGUUUUUGAUAGACAAAUCUCAAACAUCCAGUGUUUGAUUUUAAGGCCUUUAAGUUUAUGUACUUUCCAUAUUAGGAUCAAUGUCAGAUCUUUAACAACUUUUUUAGAUUUGUAAGUACCUUGGUAUCUUUAGGCCUUCAAUUAUUAAUUUCAGCAAAAAGGUUGAGAAGGAGGAAUUUCUUGAAGAUACGGAGCUUUAUCGUGAUCCUACCACUACACUUCACUAGUAAUAUACUCUCUAAGAUUCUUUUAUUGACAUUGUUUGUUCAAUCCCUUCUUAACCUUCUAGGAUACGACUUUCCUCUUAUUAUACUAUUAAAACAUUUAAUCCUUGAUAUAAAAACAUUUUUAUAGGCCCGAAGUCAGUCCUACAUCAAAAUGCAGAUCUUCAGAAAUAAAUGUAAACCUCUGUUGUUUCAAAAAUUUAAUUCAUGUUAUUUUUCUUUUAAAUUUAUGGUGAUUUGCAGUUCAAGAGUAGUCGUUGGCAUUGUUAUGAUACUAUGAUAGCAGUGCAUGCAGCAAAAGAAAAACAAGUAGCCGGGUAACUAAGCUCCUUGAUUAGUUAUUUUAUUUUUUGUUUGCCUCUAGUCUAACUACAAUUGCCAAUUGUAUGCCCCAAAAUGGUUGCAAUGGUUACAUCUCGAGGGGAGACUUUCGUAGUGAACUUCAACAUUGAAUCCAUAAUCAGAUAGUUCGACUGUAAAGAUUUCCAGCAAAUCACCAUGAAAAUCCACCUUUAUUAAAAUCUUGGCAAAAUGGCCAUACUUUUUCUCUCUUAUUGCCUGAUGAAUUUGCAAAGAAAUGCCAACUUCUCUAGCCACCGUCAUCAGAAUUCUAGGAUGCCAGUACUCCACUCUGGGAUCAUAUGUUCUUAAGGACGUGACUGGAUAGUUGGCUCACAAAGGUUGAAAUUCCAUCACCAUUUGUAUAAGCGAAAGAACCCCUGAGGUAGUUUAUAAUAUUGGGGCAAGAGAAAACAUUUGGUGAAAACCAUCACCUAUAAACUCAGGAAUAUUCAUGUUGUAUUAUCAAGAAUCAAUAGCAUAAUUAUGCGGAAGCGUAUCUGAAUUCAUAACGCUUAAUUCCUCUCUAGAGUAGCGUGGUUGGCCUUUCAGAUCUACACGUUCUCCUAUAGAGUCCUUUAGUUCUCUCUACGCUCUCUCUCUAAUAAUGAGAUAUCAUAAAGAAUGGAAAGAAUACAUGUAACCUGAGGACCAUAACCACUUAUAUAGACAACUUAUUCCAGUUGUCACAUGAUAUUCAUAAUUCUGCCUAUCAUAGAAUUAGAAUAUUAUUGGGUCCUACACAUUAAGGCUCACACUAUAUUAGAUACAUUAAAGCUCAUAAUACCGAAAAUCUAAAUAGAUCACUUUUAAUUGAGCUUAACCUUAUACAACAGUCUGCAACACAUAAUUAUUCACAUAUAAGCCCAACGUUGGAUUAAGGAUCCAACAAUAUUGAAUUAAAAAAUCCAACAAUCUCCCACUUGGGCUAUAUGUGUAACCUUAUAAUUAUGUUUUGCAAAAAUAACCAUAUGAGCUCAACCUUACUGUCAUUAUAGAAAUAUAUAUAUAACUAAUCCGGUCCAUAAAUCAUACUAACGUAAGAUUACCCGUACCUCUAGCUUUUACACAAUAACUACAGAACAAUUAUAUUUCAACAUAAGUAUAAGAAAAGGUGCACGCAUAAGUACACAGAAUGGACUGUAGACCGUAAUAUCCGGAUUCAUAAGUACAAGAGGCAGAACUACAGAACAAUUAUAUUUCAACAUAGCAUCAUUAUCUAAGAAAAGGUGCACGCAUAAGCAUUAUACGAUGAAGCCUACUUGCUUAAUUUAUAAUGGAAGGAAAGCCAACCAUGAUGACUCGUCUGCCAUAAUGUUUAAUGUCAGAGAAAAAGAAAAAAUUAUUUUGCUAAUAUGCAUUCUUCUUAGUUCUAAGACUAUCUAUCAAGAAAAUUGACUUCAUUAAGAUCGUUGCCUUUCAAAGAAUUCAUCAACUGUACAAAAAGCAACUUCGAACAACCAUUAAAUGCUCUAUUGAAAAAUCAAUAUCAUAGGUCCGCACGUUUAAUAUUUUCAUUCCUGGCAACAGAGAAAAAGACUGCACCUCUCCCAGAGUCACGUCCUAAGAUAGUUGUCCAAAGCCAAUGCAGUUUCUACCACGUCUUAUGUCUCGACGAACAUGAGCUUAUACUGCAUUAUUUCCUGCAAGAAGAAGGCCAUCAGGUUUCCCUCCCAAGAAAACAUGAGCUUCUACUUAAAUGUGAAUUAAUUAUCAAGUUAUAACAGAGAAAAACAAAGAAAAGAUGCCAAAAUGUUUGAAGACAGACUGAUAAACUAAAAGGAGACGAGUGGCAAUUAUUUCAUCCAUGUACAAGUAACUGAGAAAAAAACAUACAAUCCCAUCAGGGACAACGGAGGCCAUCUCCACCAAGAGCUUUCCAUAAUUAAUUUAUAAACAUACAAUCUCAUCAGGCUUUAUGGCGAGUGAAGCUUCACGGCAGCUAAGCUGCAACCGAAAUGUCAAAUAAACAAAGAGAUCAAUGGAGAUUUUAGCAUAAAAAUUAACAGCUUGUGAAACAAAGAUGACAGCAUAACAAUAUGCACUAUUUUUACAUCAGAAGCCAUAGUAUUGCAUCAGCAGUGGAAGGCGACAACUAACUAAAGAAUGAUGAAACUCAUUUUUCAUAGCAAAAAUAAUGAUAUUGAAUCCAAGCACAAUAAAUAUUAUUAACUUCAGAUAAGCCAUCUAGCUAAAAUAGCAAAAUAAAUAUGUUAGCACUCUAAUAGCUCAAGAUACAGAGCUACCAAAGCACUGCCCAAGAUUUCUUGCUCACAAACUGCCUCAACUAUCAGCUUUAUGCCAGCUGAUAUACACUCCAGUUUACACAGAUUAAAAAGCCACGUGUAUAACGGCCUCAUAACAGAUUUGAUUCCCUUCUCACGUGCGUUUUCACGUGCUUUACUUAAACCAGCUUAAAACGAUCUUGGAUGAUGCCGUUUUAAACAGUAAGUUGAGCACAUGUUUAGCUCGUGACUUCUUGAGGCAUUUGAACCCAAUCUGAAACGCUUCCGUUUAACCCUUCAAGUUUUGUAUUCAGCAGAUUAAUCCACAAAAUCAAAUCUGGAAACCGAACGAAGGCCAUUCAAAUUUUUUCGGAAGACCUUAAAAUUGAACAUUCUGGAGGCAAAGGGAAGUAAAACACGUUCCAAAAUUUCGUACCUGUCUGUAAAACCUCCGUCAAAAUAUGAACAAAGUUUGCCCUGUAGCUUUUUCCAUCUUUUUUAUUUUUUACAAGACCAAAACUGGAUAACCGAGGGUCACCAUCCUGCGAUGAAAUGAAAAUUAAUUAAUGAACCUGUACAAUCAAAUGCAUAUGAACAUGCUGAAAAAUCAUAUGAAGCAGCCACAAGUUCCCUGACCUAUAUAUUUCUCCAGUAAUUAAAAUUAUUCUUAUAGAAGCAAUGAAAUGAUUAGCAGACUUUUACCUUUCAGUUUGCGUACAAGUCCCCUUACCCAUGUAGUCAUCCUCACUCUUUGCAUAAAUGUAUUGCAACUCCAGCAAUGACCCUAAUCUUGUAAGAACAGGAAUGUGUAGCAAUCGAUAGUCUGGUGAUUCACUGCCAGCUUAGCCAUUCUCAUUUCUCUGACCCUGUGGUUAUUUCUUAUGUUUAUGCUAGCUGCCUUAUGUCUAUUCGAGAGGAUCUAUGGGAUGCCGUAGUGACAUACUUUCAUAGCCAUGAUCGCCCUUGGAUUGUUGGUGGGGGACUUUAAUGUUGUUCAGUCUGUUUCGGAGAUUUCUGGUGGGCAUAACCAACCCUAGGGAGCUAUUGAUGCUUUCAACCUAACAUUGGUGGAUUGUGGGUUGGAGGAUGCUGGGUUCGUUGGUAGCCCAUAUACUUGGACUAAUGGACAUGCUUGGAGGCGGCUUGAUCAGGUGGUCUGUAAUGCUUGUUGGUCUGAUUUUUUCUCGUCGUUUCAGGUUACUCACCUGAACCGUACAGCUUCGGACUAUUCUCCUCUGCUCUUUUCCUGUGACAAGGGUGCGACUAAGGGACCUCCCAGAUUUAAAUUUUUGCAUACUUGGCUCAGACAUCCGGGUUUCUUUGAUGUUGUGACUCAGUCUUGGGAUUCUCCAGUGGUUGGUUUCGGGAUGCGGGCAUUCCAACAGAAGCUUGUCCGUCUGAAGAAUUGUUUGAAAGCUUGGAACAAGGAAGUGUUCGGCAAUGUCUUUUACAGAGUGAAAGAAGCUGAGAAGGACAUAGCUCGGAAGAAGAGGCAGUACGACCUUUCUGGUUCUGUGGAGGAUAGGGUUAUGUUUUCAGAGGCCAGGGCUCAUUUGCAGCAUGCCUUGUUGUGCGAGGAGAGUUUCUUGAGACAGCAGUUCAAUGUCCGAUGGGUCCGAGAGGGUGAUGCCAAUACCCGCUUUUUUCAUGCGAUAGUUCAUUUUUAUCAAUGUCCUUUUGAUCAGAAAUUCAUGAAGAUUUCAUCCAUUAGUUUUUUUGUGGCCCAUUUAGUAGUGGCUGCAUUCUGUUUGUUGAAAUGUCUUAGAGAAGCUUGCAAGUUGCAAUACUAACAAGCUUAAUGAGCUGGAGAUAAAGUGGCAGUGAGCUGGAGUUAAGCUGACAUGGAGCAUGAAUCAGCAUUGUCUUAAGAGCAAUCCAGAGUUAGUUAGAGAGAAAGUAAAAGCAGAGGAAGAAGACAAUGAUCAUGUGAUAUAUGUACAGUACAAUAGCAGUAGCCGUUAGAUCAAUUGAUUUACAACCAUUACACCAUAAGCUUGCUACCCCAGCUAUGCACUGAUGCAUUAAUAGAAAAGAAAGUGAAUGAAAAAGAUGUGCUGUGCUCAAUCAAUUAAUCCUUUUGCGUCUGCCACCAAAACUUAAGGUAGUUAGAAAUUUUUUAACUAGUCAAAAUACCAAUAUUUCCAAAAGCUUUAAGCUUAUGGGACAACCAGUUGCUCAACAUCGACCUUGAUAUCAGAACCAAUCCGGAUGAGGAGUCAGGUGUUCGAAUUCCAUCAUUCAAAAUUGCCUUAUAAUUCCCGCGCUUUCUUGGCAAGAAAAGGCAGUGGAGGCCUUUUAUUAACCAUAAGGGGUGGAUUAAUUGAUGGAUUAAAAUCUUUUGGCAGUCAUUAUUUUACUGGUUGGAAUUUCUUUAUGUUCUACUAUUAAUGAAUUUUCCUUGCCAUUUUUAAGUCUGUGAUAUAAGUGUUCAUAAUGGUGCGUUGUCGAUGUAGUUCUCUCCAGCGAAUCAUGUGUUGAUGCACAUAUUGAAAAAGAGGUAAAGAAUCUAAAUUUCCUGCUUCACAGUGUAGAUGAUAGAAUUUUUCAGUUUAAAACGUGAGGAGUUUUAGUUCACAUGCACUCUGUUUUCGUAGUAGUCUUAAGAUAUGUUGUCACUUGUCAGUGUUCUUGUAGUUCCCUUUUAAGACUACAUCUUGUCUAGUUGUCUUUGUACUCAAAAGUAUGUAGUUAGUGGCGAUAAAUGGAGUGCUUUUGUAUGUUACUUUUUAAUGAAUGAUGGAAAAAAUAAUUCAUAAGCAUCUUAGCAUAACAUUUUCACUCAAUUAAUGCAUAUCAACAACGGUUUACUGAUGCUCUAUAUGUGACUCAUUUCCAGGAAGCCUUUAUCAGGUAUGCUUAACUCAUUGAAAACUUAUUAUUUUUCAUGUUUGGGCCAUCACAACAUUGACAUUGUUGAUGCUGUUCGUGUCUUUCUCACUGUACAUAAGAAUGUAAACUCUUUUUGGAAGGUAUAAGAUCAAGAUUCUGUUUGAAAUCUUUACCAUCAGCUUGCUUUUCAUUUGGUGGAUACUACUAUCGAUAAUGUCAUUUUUGUCAUCACAAACAUAACGCCUACUCUUCAUCUGUACAAAUCACCAUAAAUUUAAAAGAAGAAUAGACAUUAAUAAAUUUUUGGAGCAACAAAAGUGUAUAUUAACUAAUCUUCAUAUUUUUAAUAAUAAAAAAUAAUUUUUGACCCUUAGCAGCUGCUUCAACUUGAAGUUGACCUUCCCAACAUUUCCAACUGACAUUUUGUCCAUCGAUUGUUACAUUCAUCCUCAAAGCAUGCACUGAAGAAGGGAGGCUCAUACUCCACUGGCUGCAAGCCUGCAACAAUUAAGCUCAGGGAUUAUUAAAAAAAAACCACAAUUAAUUAAUUCCAAAUACAAAUGUAGAAACUUAAUUAAGACAUCAGAUAUCAGUUCUAUAAGGGGGUAUCAUCACAUCAUCAUAGUAGAGCGGCUUCACUGAUACAUUACGCUGUAACAAAUUAGGAAUAAUAGAUAUCUCAUUAGUUGAUAAUAAUGUGCCAUAAAUAAUAUUCAAUCAUGUGAAAAUACUUGAAAAAUUAAUCUUCAAAGUGCAAACUGAGACUAUAGCGAGUAUCACUACAGGCAUUUCCAAACCCUUAUUAUAUCUCGGACGCUUUUGCAAUUUACUAAGCAAUUUAGCAGGUGAGGUGCUGAAUGUAUAGUACAGAUGUGACAAGUUAAAUAAAUACAGUCUACACAAAAAUAGAAAGAUAAAUGAAAUUUAAUUAUUGAUGUUGAUUAAAUUAAAUGAAACUGCAUAUAAAGGAAGACAUGUUCCAAUGUCUGUAUAAUCCUCUCAAUAAAUAUCUCAAGAGUAAGAACAUAAAAAAAAAAGAGAAAAUAGAUAUGAAAAUAAAGCCUUAAUUACAGGAAUAUUCUUCAAUCAAAGGCCCUUCAUUUUCAUAAAGAAUUUUCCACACCGAAAAAACGAACUACAUUGCAUGCCUACCGAAAAAUUAAAUAAAAAUUGUUUUUAAUUUCGAAUAGCGAGCCCAAAUUUUCUAUUUCCAGAAGAAAUCUUAUGCUGUUGAAAAGUUUCAUAUUAGGAAUCAUUUACUGCUAGUGUCAGUGAAGUCUCCUUAGUGAUCUGCGGUUUCUUCACUCGUGAUCUACCAGACUUGAAACGAUAAUCAUAUAAUGAGAUAAGUAUUAACUGUUAAUUGAACUGUAGAAUCUCAAAAAUGAGUAAACGGAUUACAAAUUAAUUAUGACGAGUUUGUGUAUCCCUUGGAUUAAAAUAUCAAGAUUUAUUAGGUCUAUAUAAUUAAUUUGAUAUUUUAAUAUCUUCAAUUUGGUAUAUCAGAAUAUUAAGAUUUAUUGGGUCUUUAUCAAGAGCCGUCGCCAAUUGAUCAUUUCAUGGGGUUUGAUACAGCCACAGAACUAAGAUAAAAUUUCAUAGGUAGACUAUUACGGUUACUCCACCAUAAAACAAACGAUAUUUUGAAAAGAAAAUUAAGACUCUGGUAGUUAAUUUGCCUCGUAAUUAAUUAUUGCGGACAAACCAUCACAAAAAUUUUUCAAUUAUUAUUUACUUUUCCAUUUUCUUUAAGGGUGAGACUACUUACAUUUUAAAAAUUACUUUGAAUAUUUUUUAUUUUGAUAAAUUACUUUAUUACAAAAAUACUUAUCAUAUGAAUUACUAAUAAAGACUGUAUCUUUUAUAAACUAAUAUAAUAUUAUUACUCUGAACACUCAUAUAGCAUAGUCAAUAUUCAAUAUAUAAUUUCUUGCUAUAAAUUCUAAAAAUCUCAACCACAAUCUCUUAGAGAAUGUUUAAUUAAACAAGGGGCAAGUCAAUACUUAAAAUAUAUUUAGAACAUUUUUUGCUUUUUAUUUUUUUUUAAAAGUAUGUUUUCGUAGUCUUUUCCUUCUUCUUUUUUUUAGGGGGGGGGGGGGGGGGGGGAAGGGGACUAAAUGGCCCUUUUGUUAGGUUAAAAAGUUGGGGUGUGAAAAUCAAUAUUGUACAUAUUCUUUAAUAGACAAAAACUAAUAAUUAAAAUUUAUGUUAAAGAAUUUGUUUAGAACAAAAUUUGAUUCUAUUGUUGUACAUACUAAAUUGUUAUUAAUUCAUUUUGUACAAAUGCUCGUUUAGUCCCUAUAUUUUAACUUUAGUGCUUAUUUAAUACCUAUAUUUUAAAAAACGCCUCAAGAUACCUAUACUAUUAAAUAUGUUGUACUCUUUUCCUUACUUUUUCUUAGCUUUUACAAUAAUACCCAACAAUAUUUUUUACAUUAAUUGUUUAAUCUAUAAAAAAAGUUACUUAGCAAAUUAACUAAUAAUUAAACAUCAAUAUCAAACAAGCGGUACUUUUUAUACCCUUACAAGAAUCUUGCUGAUCAUUAUUUAUAAAUAAAUUAAUAAUAGCCAAUUUAAAGUAAUGUUUAAUAUCCUUUCAACAACAUUACCAAUAAUGUUUUGUUAAAAAAUUAAUUUACUAAAUUAAUCCUAAAUAUAAAAUAAUAGCAACUAAUUUUUAUUUUACUUUUAUGGCUAAUUUAAUAAAUUUAUUUUUUUCAUUAAUAUCUUUAAGAAUAUUGUUGCAAAGAUAUUAUUAUAAAAGUGAAGAACAAGCUCAAUUAAAAUAAAUAAUGCAAGCUAGUACUAAAUACCUAUUAUAAUUUUAGAAUAGUUUAUUAAAAUAAAAAGGGAAAAGGACAUCUACACAUGCAUUAUUUAUUAUGCAUUACUAAAUACCUAUUUAUUAUACUGUUAAACUUGAGCCGUUCAUCCGUUAUCUAUACAUGCAUUAUUUAUUAUGGUACCUCAGCAUCAUUUUAUCUCCAAGUGCAAAUGCUGAAAAUUAAUUAAGAGGUAAGUAAGGCAUCAGUUAAAUUUGCACCCUACUACCCUGUACUUUUUAUCAAUCAAUACACCUGGUGAGUCCCUAAAAUUUGCACCCUAACAACAACAGCUAGCCACAAUUAGUCAUGAACACCAAAAAGUCCGCGCAGGAUGUGUAAAAUGGACAUGUCUAUGACAUCAUUUUUAUAACUAUAAAAGUAAUAAAAUAUUCUCCUAAAUAUAUUAACCAAUGCGAUUUUGAUUAUUAAAAAAUAUAAUUUCAUUAAAAAUUCAUCGGUCUUACUAAAAUAUGUAAGAAACACGUAAAGUAAUGCACAUAACUUUUUUUUAUUUUUUUAAAGGAGGGGUGCAACAUGAGGACUUCUCAAGAGGUCACUCAUCUUAGUACUGUUCUCGCCCAAGCAUGCUUAACUGCAGAGUUCUGAUGGGAUCCCGUGCAUUAGUGAUGGUAUGGUCGCACCCAAGCAAUGGACAUAACCUUAAUUUUUCAAAUGUUCUUCAUUUUUUUUUAAUCCUUUUGGAUAUCGUGAGAUCUUUAAUAAGGUGGGAAUCAGAGGGGGCCAAGUUCGUUUGGACAGUCCUUCAAAAUAUACUUUUAACUAGUCAAGAAAAAGAUUAGGAGUUGUAAUAUUAACGAAAUUUUAGUAUUGAUAAAUAUGUACGACAGAUUAUUAAUACUAAAUUGAACUUAAAAUGUAUUUAUUAUUACUUUGAUUUUAUUAUAAUUCUAUUUAUUAUAAAACAAUAAACUGAAAUCAAUUUUUGUUCAGAGUCCAACAAUAAAAUAAUCGAAAGGGCCAUUUCCGAGACUAUUUUUUAAACAUUAAGGUCUAUGUCCAUAAUUAAAUAAAUUAUGGAAUAUAAAUAUCCUUUUCCUUCAUAAUUACCGCCAAAUUACUCCCAAUCUCCACGCGCAUUAAAUUUGGUUGGUAUGCUUUGAUCGUCGGUUCGUCUUCAUGUUUACAAUUAUUUACUUUUUGGACCACGUUUGGCACAUGCCGAAAUUGAAUCUUAGCCCUUAAUCUUACCGACUAAUUGUACGAUAAAACUUGAACCGUUGAUGCCUUAUCUAUACUUUGCAACGUCACAAUCACCCCCGUUUGGCACAUGCCGAAAUUGAAUCUUAGCCCUUAAUCUUGCCGGCUAAUUGUACUAGAGAACUUGAACCGUUGAUGCCUUAUCUAUACUCUGCAACGUCACAACUACCCACUUUGGCACCGUAGGCGACUUGAUCUCUAUAUAUCAUGCCAAAUCAGAAGCAAGAACUCGCUCAAGUACUUAUUUUUUAAUAUAGUGCACUCGAAGCUAGCAAAGAUCUUUUCUGACUUGAAGAAUAUGAAAACUCUUGCUGGCGCAGGUAUUUAGGCCUACUUCAGUUUCUUUUUUGAGAAGGGCCAACUUCAGUUGAAUAUCAUUUAUAAUUCUUUUUUUAAUAUAUGCAUUUAUGAAUAUAUUUUUCAAUAUAAAAUUUUUAGGUAUGAGCGAUCCGUCAGAAGGUUUGGUACUCCCUUCCAGUAUUGCUGAUGAUGAUGUUGGAAAUGACAAUCUUGAUCUUAUUGUUAUUCCUCAAUAUGGGAGAAAUCCUGAUUAUUAUGGGUAAGUGUCUGCAAUCUGGAUGAUGAUAUAUGUAAUUAAAUAAAAGGAUGGGUACAGUUAUUACCUAUCAAUCAUAAGAGUGUCAAUUUAGUUCAGUUCACUAAUAAAAAUCUCUUAUACAAGAGAUUAUCUUUGUUUGCGUUCAUGUACUUUGUCUUCUUUAAUUAAUAAAUAAAAUUAUUGUGUAUCAAUGUGUUGAUUAAAUUAGUACAUUAAUAGAUAUAAAAUCAUUUGAAUUUGUCCACA